GACGUAGGGGGCCAGCGUUGCUCGGAAUCACUGGGCGUAAAGGGUCCGUAGGCGGUGCGGUAAGUCGGGAGUGAAAUCUCUGGGCUUAACUCAGAGGCUGCUUCCGAAACUACCGUGCUAGAGUGCGAGAGAGGCAAGUGGAAUUGCGGGUGUAGCGGUGAAAUGCGUAGAUAUCCGCAGGAACAUCCGAGGCGAAAGCGGCUUGCUGGAUCGCAACUGACGCUGAGGGACGAAAGCUAGGGGAGCAAACAGG
rnacentral:rRNA from 1 species